AGGGAAGGGAGGAAGGGAGUGCAUGAUGAGUGUGUGUUAGGAGGGAAGAGAGGAAGAGAGUGCAUGAUGAGUGUGUGUUAGGCCUUUGGGGUUGUUAGGACAGUACUCUCCGAAGAGCUGGAUCCUCAAGAGCUUCUUGAAGAUAGAAAGGGGCCGCACUCUGGUAAGUCAUUCCACCAUCAGGGAACAACAAAUGAAAAUACUCUGGAUCACCGGGUGUGUAGGGGCGGCAGUGACAGAUGACGCUCCCUUGAGGAAUGCAGUGGCCGAGGGAUAACAUAAGCCUUAAUGAAAGUAAGUAAGUGGAAGGAGACCCAGUAAUCACUUUGCAGACAUGCAUUAGUGACCUAACACCACGCUGUAGCGGCACAGAACUUGCUGUCCAAACAUGGAGCCACAACACAACUCCACAGAAAGCCGCUACACU